rnacentral:rRNA from 1 species
GAUGAACGCUGGCGGCGUGCCUAAUACAUGCAAGUCGAGCGAACAGAUGAGGAGCUUGCUCCUCUGACGUUAGCGGCGGACGGGUGAGUAACACGUGGAUAACCUACCUAUAAGACUGGGAUAACUUCGGGAAACCGGAGCUAAUACCGGAUAAUAUAUUGAACCGCAUGGUUCAAUAGUGAAAGACGGUUUUGCUGUCACUUAUAGAUGGAUCCGCGCCGCAUUAGCUAGUUGGUAAGGUAACGGCUUACCAAGGGAACGAUGCGUAGCCGACCUGAGAGGGUGAUCGGCGACACUGGAAGUGAGACACGGUCCAGACUCCUACGGGAGGCAGCAGUAGGGAAUCUUCCGCAAUAGGCGAAAGCCUGACGGAGCAACGCCGCGUGAGAGAUGAAGGUCUUCGGAUCGUAAAACUCUGUUAUUAGGGAAGAACAAAUGUGUAAGUAACUAUGCACGUCUUGACGGUACCUAAUCAGAAAGCCACGGCUAACUACGUG